GAUGGCCUAGUGGUUAGAGCGUCCGCCUCGGAUGCGGGAGAUCGUGGUUUUGAAGCCCGGCCUAAUCA